rnacentral:miRNA from 1 species
AACCCGUAGCCUUACUAUCCGG